CGUGGCAUGUGACAACUUUGUUUUUCCCCAAAUGGCUCUGGCUUUACGUGAGGUGCUGCAACGAAUUACGCCACAUAAAGUGCGCCAAAACGGUAUUUACUGUUUGAACGUCGUAUUAAAACUUACUAAAUUUGAAACCUGAGACUUUGUUUUAUAACGUAUGUUCCAUUCUAUCCUAAUAACGUUUAGGUACGUUCACAGUUUGCUUUGUACAUCGCAUGUCAAUGCUGAGACAAAUAAAAAUUAAAUUAGGCCUAUAUUUCAGAUUUGUUAGACACUUAGGCCUAAUAUGAGUUUUUCAGUUGGCUAGAUAACCACCGACUUUUGAACGUUAAAAAAUAAUCAAUCACAACAUUUUUGGGAAUAUUUUGGGCUUUUUUUACGCAUUUUAUAUAUGUUGAAAAACUUCUAAACAAAGUCUUAUUAUCAUUUGGAACUUUUGCAUUAUUGACACAUAUUCUCCUAUUUAAUACUGUAAAGUUGCUUUGACACAACCUGUUUUGUUUAAAAGCGCUGUAUAAAUAAAAUUGAUUGAUUUGAGGUAGUUUAUUCAUAAUAAGCUUUGGUACUUCUGGAAUUAACAGUUAAAAUUGGGCUCUCUGAAGAGAGACAGUUCAUCAUAACAAUGAAAGCGUUCCAAAACAAAGAACCCCGUGUUGCGUCACAUUUCGUUUGAGACGCAACGGCACGUUCGGCCAAUUAGAGUGGAGGUACGGGACAGAGUAGGCUGGGUCUCUCAUCCACAGGGAGCGGUCCGCUAAAUUCAAACAGCCACACGAAACAAAGUAAAGGAUAGUUCGAUUUCAUCAGACUCUGCGGUGUGGGAAAAAAGGCAUUUUUCAUCUCCCUAAGAUCUCAUUAUGGCAUCCACAAUUGUGAGCGGGGUCUGGAGGUCACAUGCAGUCCUAGAUGAAUCAGAGCCUGACAGCUCGCCUGAAGCACCGCAGCAAUUUAAGAAGAUGCGCUCCUCCAGCUCGCUGAACUCACUGAGAAUGUCUCUGCGCAAGCGUCUGCCCUUGAAGCCAGUGCAAUCCAACGUCAGCAUCUCUGAGAACCAGACAUGGGAGUCGCUACAGAUUAACCAAAAGACCAGUGCUGUCCGCAGAAUGACCCGCAAUGCCAAAAACUCCAUUGGAAGCAUCUGUCAGAGGUUUCAAAAGAGCAGACAGUCACGUCAGGAGUGUCUGGUCAUGACACCUGGUAGAACGUCAGACGGUGAGGAAUCUGAUUGCAAUGGGAUAUCACAAACCCCAAAACGAUCUGCUGCUCGUACUGCCAUCACCCCCAGGCGAACUCCAAGGUCUACCUGCAAGCGAACUCCUCGAGGGGCCUGUACCCCAGAAGGCAGUGACUCUGCCGUUAGGACGGUGAAGACCUGGGGCACCAGGAGGCAGCUGGUGCGAAUGGCUGCACUCAGAAGCCCUUUUGCAUCACCCAACACAAUGAACAGCAGGAGGCAGUUUGAUGAGGAUCUGGAUUGUGUGUCCAAAGGCCUACGGAGACUGAAGCGUCUUUCUCAAGACUUUGAUGAUGUGAUUGGGAAAGAUGAUCGCGACAGAUUCAGGGAGUGUAUUAUGGAGUAAAGCUAAGUAAGUUUACUGUAGCUCACUGGAUCUGAUGCAGCCACUGCCACACUAAAGCUAAGUUGUACUGCAUGUUUAGUUAUUAACCUACACAAAACACUUAAGGAGCUUUACCUUCUAAUUUCAAGAGCUAAAUCCAUUUACAGUGGCUGCUGCUUGCUGGUCUAUUCUUCCUUCCCUUUUUUAUUUUUUAAUUUUUUUAAACAAUCGUUUCACUUCUGUAUUAUGGUUCAGAAUCAGAAACAUCAUGCCAAUUCUUUAGAUUCUUCAGCCGAGUAGAUUUUUUGUAUAACACAAAAGGUAUUACUGUUCAAAUGUCAAAGCUGGUCUUUCAGCUUUGAUGAAAUGCAUGCUGAUAACAGCAUGUUUGUUUGUUUUAUAGCACUAAUACUAACAUGCCUUGCACUUAUGUAAAGAACUAUUUAGAAGUUGUUUUUUUUUCUUUAGUCAUGGUGUCAUAUAAGAUCCUAUUCCCCUUCCUCUGUCUAAACAGAAACAGUGCAAUAUCAUGAUAUCUAAAAGGGUAGAUCGCUUUAAGGCAGCAACAAAUUAAUACAUACAGAUAUCCACUGUAAUUGCAGUGAUAUAUUUAUGACGGUUAAUUGCACUCACUGGAGAGGGCUCAAAUCUCAAAUCUGUACUUUAAAGUUCAAAGUACACUAUGGUCUUAUGCCUAUGCUAGGGUAUGCAUACAGCGUGCAUGACACAAAUUUCUUAAUCAGCACAAGACAGCUGCAUUUUCUUUAACAUAUUUACAUAACAUCAUUAUACUUAUAAUGGCUGCCACGUGUGUGUCUGUUACGUCCGCAAGACCGUAAAUGGUCACAAUUGUCAUUUUGUGUUUGAACCCAAAAAUGCAAAUUUUGUCAUCAUUUCUAAUGUUGGUAUCCAAACAGCUGUUGUUAGCUACCAUCAACUGUUGGUUACCAACAUUUUUCAAAAUAUCUUCUUUUGUGCUCAACAGAAGAAAGAAACUCAUACAGGUUUGGAACAACUUGAUGGGUCCAGGCCUUGCAGCACUACAAAGCGGUCAUGAACAUGGGCUACAGCUCCACCAAGAGCAACAUUUCUAGAGGACUGAACAGGGCUUCCAUCCGAAAACAGACUUAGCGCAUCCAGCAGACCAUCAGCAGCUGGACUGAUGUGACCAUGUCAAACAUCCACAAAGCCUCUUAAAAGAGGCAUCUGUUUUCCUUAUGUUAUUAAACAUGAAUGUUGUCUUGCAUUUCUCAGUAUAUGCCAAAAGAGGCCUUGUCCAAUAAUUUUAAUUGGACAUUUUUCUGAUCUGUUUGUAUCUUUUGAGUGUUUAAAGUAAAGGGCAACCGAAUAUACUGUAUUACUAUUUGGAAACAUUCUGCAUUUAUAGCUGCUGCUUUUCAGAUUUAUGUGCAUGAUUUUAGUUAAUGCACACUUCACACUGACAUAAUGAAGCAUUUAGUAAUUCUAAACUAUCUCUGCUGUGAAAAACCACCAAAAGAUGUGAAUACCAAAUGUAAUCAUAUUUGAAAUACAUGUGUGGAAAGGUCAAGAAAAAUAGAAAAAAAAGCUGAAUGUUACUCAUUAAAGACAAUAUUCAGUUUUUUUUUUUUUUUUUUUUUUUUUUUUUUUUUUUGUUUUGUUUUUUAAUCACUACCUAACACUAAACUGCCAUAGUUAGAUACCGUCUUGACUGUGGGAGAUGUUACUAAUAUUAUGAUUUAACCUAUUUAGUUGAAGUUUAUUGACAGUAUUUUACUACUUUGGUACUUUUCUGAGUUUACUGUAAAACGUUGGGAUUUAUCUUAAGGGAGAAUAAAAUGCAAAGUAU